UACGGAGGGUGCGAGCGUUAAUCGGAAUUACUGGGCGUAAAGAGUGCGUAGGCGGUUUAAUAAGUUAAGUGUGAAAGUCCUGGGCUUAACCUGGGGUGGUCACUUAAAACUGUUAGACUGGAGUAUGGGAGAGGGUGGUGGAAUUUCCGGUGUAGCGGUGAAAUGCGUAGAGAUCGGAAGGAACAUCAGUGGCGAAGGCGGCCACCUGGCCUAAUACUGACGCUGAGGUACGAAAGCGUGGGGAGCAAACAGG
rnacentral:rRNA from 1 species